UUUUUUUUUUUUUUUUUUUACAGUCUUGACGUCUUUUAUUUUUUUUACAUUUAUCGCGCCAUGAAUUCAUAGGGAAUGGGUUCGAACAGCUCAGGCUCCUUUCCAUUGGUUCUCACAAAGUGUGCUUCUCUGGAGAGAACACCUCUGAACUCCAGGUCACG